CGCUCUCUUAAAGCAAGCUGCAGCCUGAUACAGACACUGCCAGUUUCUAGGCAAUGGAAGGUUCUGGAAAGUGGAUCAUUGUCCCCCUCUGGUAGAUAUGAUGUUGGGUGCCUUUUUGGUCUGUCGGCGAGGGCAUGGAGAGCCUCCAGGCACAUGCGCCCACCUCUUAAACUUGCUAUUCCUUGUGUAAUAUCAAGUGGAAGUAUGAAGCACCACAAACUGCUUUGAGCAGAGCCCACUUCCCUUCACCCACAGAGAACAUGAAGCAGUUAUACCAACAUCAAUCAAGGAGAACCCACAGGCUGAACUCACACCGUUGAAGCAGGUGUGUGAGUGAGCCUUCUCCAACAGGCGCAUGUGACUGAGGUGUACCUCGGUGUCUUGCCCGCAGAUGUCAGUUACGAUGACCGUGUGGGGCUGUGCUCGCUCAGCACAGAGCUAAGACAAGCCUGUCAUCUUUAUGGAACAGAGCAAGUGGGG
rnacentral:lncRNA from 1 species